UUUUUUUAUUUUUUAAGGCUCGAUUUUUUUAUAAAUAAAGUUUUAUUUAUUAAUAAAAGCUGAUUUUUUCUUUUCAAGGUGCUGGUAGACUCGGUCUGCAGUGAGGCGCCUUCCUCCUCGUCCAACUCGGCAUCCGGCAGCAGCUCCGGCAGCGACCCCGAGCUCACCUCAGAAUGCAUGGACACAGACUCCGCCUCUAGCUCUGGUGGCUCGGAGAAGAACUUGGUCACCGUGAUGACGUCGUCGCCGUCGUCGGCGCCCGGCGUUAACGGAGAUCGUAACGGGAACCACUUUUCCCCCCUGACGGUGACUAACGGCUGCGCCCCUCCUCCCUGUAGCAGCAGCAGCAAUAACGUCAUAAUGUGUAACGGGGUGGUGAAAAGCCCGUGGGGGGGCGUGACCAACGGCUCGGCGAUGAACGCCGUCCCAGACGACGCCGCCGCCGCCGGUAGCUGCGGCAACAAGCCGAGCCACCGGGCGUCGGCCAACGGAGCUGGUGCGAACCCCAGCACUUUGAACCCAAAUGUUAACCACAGUGCCUGGCCCGGUCCCCAGGGACCCUCUGGCUGUAAGAUUGGCCAGCGGGAGGCUCUCUGGGCUGGGGAGGGAUACAGCCGGACAGCUCUCCUCCGUCUCCUCUAUCAGAACAACAGCCACCACCUCCUAAAUGAUACUACUGUCAAGGCUCACCACCUUAACGCUGAAGCAACCAACGGACCAAAUAACACUACUAACGCCAUAAACACCUCUAGUUUACCAAACUCUACGGGCGGCUCAGUGCAGAGGAACGAAUCCGGCUCGGGGCUGCGUUCCUGGGGAGCUGGAGGAGGAGGAGGAGGAGCGGGAUCAGAGCCUGGAGAUCAGCUCUCCAACGGGGCCCUGUAUGCCGCCCAGCACCCCUACAGCGACGGCCUGGCAGGGGGCUUCUCUAAGCCCUGGGGGGCUUCGGUCCCUGGAGACACUGUGAACGGCCAGGGACAGGGCCAGCCCUCCCCUGCUGCUGCUGCUGCUGCUGUUUGUUUACAACAGUAAAAAUAACAACAAGACCCCUGUAGGGAGGUGGGACUCUGGCCCCGCUGUUUCCUUCCUCCUCUCUCCCAACCUGUCCUUGGUGACUGUAGGAGGUGGGGUCAACGGGAACGGAGUGGGUCCUGCAGGGAUCCCCCGACCGGGGGGCCAUGCCCUCCUCCUCCUCUUCCUCCUGUUCUUCAUCCUGGCUCCAC
rnacentral:lncRNA from 1 species